UAUACAGUCCUGUGCAUGUGGCAGCGACUCACAUACACUGGAGAAAAUAGACGGCUGCACUCCACUGGUGGCAGAUCCCUGUGUCUUCAGAAAAGGCAGACAACGGGCUUCCUGCUUGGGCCGACCUCUCUCCAACCUCACCAAAUACCUCAGAACCGUUUAUGGCAAAACACCUUUCUUACAUUAGCCAGGGAGGCACCAGUGGAAGCCACGGCACCUUUGAAAUCAAGAUGUUAGAGUCUCCUCUCAGCAGUCGUCCACUCCAAAACGAUGAAGUUCUGGUUUGUGAAAACAAACAGCAUUGCAACUACUGGGGUGAUAACACUGGGCAAUACCUAUAAGGCUGGCCUAAAUUGUACUUAACAGACUGGUUAACAACCCCUACCCCUGCAACUGUCCAACAUUAGAUGGCUUAUUUGAUGCACUGAAUCUGAAACAGGAUCAUUAUUUACUUCAUUUCUAGCUUGCCUUAUGGGUCAAGGAAACCACAAGGAGCUAACAAUAUCAAAUCAUUUCUGAAGACAUGCAUAUCAAUAACAGUAAGGUACAUUUAAAAUGUGUACAAAAUCCUAAAGGCAACUUCAUUACAUCUUCAUUAUCCCUGAGACCCCAUAUUUGCACAAAAAAAUCCCAUGCUAUGUCCAGUCUUCCAAGAACCAGAAUUGAAAUCUAUUAGAACAGAUACAUGUUCCUCCGUAGUAUGCAACUCGAAUAUAGGGAUUCUGUUGUAAAGAGGAUGGUCUUUCUGAAGUUCAAUUCACCAUAAGAUUUCUGUUGGUUUUAUAUCCACUAGUAAGGUCUUUAAAUAAUGUAAUCUGGGUUAAAUAAAAUAAUUUGGAUUAGAG